CGUCUAUAUACGUAUAGCAUAUCAAUAAGCGGAGGAAAAGAAACUAACAAGGAUUCCCUUAGUAACGGCGAGUGAAGCGGGAAGAGCUCAAAUUUGAAAUCUUCAAGGUUCUACCUUGACGAAUUGUAGUUUAAAGAAGUGUUUUCUGUUAGAGGAGUGGCAAAAGUUCUUUGGAAUAGGACAUCAUAGAGGGUGAGAAUCCCGUAUUUGGUCAUUCUUUCUAGCUGUGUGAUACACUUUCAAAGAGUCGGAUUGUUUGGGAAUGCAGUCCAAAAUGGGUGGUAAAUUUCAUCUAAAGCUAAAUAUUGGCGAGAGACCGAUAGCGAACAAGUACCGUGAGGGAAAGAUGAAAAGAACUUUGAAAAGAGAGUUAAACAGUACGUGAAAUUGUCAAAAGGGAAGCGUUUGACACCAGUGUUGUUUUUCCGAAAAUCAAUUAAGAGUGGCUUGAUUUUGUGUUGUAUUGACCUUAUCAGCUUUCUUCACUCUUUUUCGAGUCUUUCUUAAUGCACUUUUCGGUUAACAAGUCAACAUCAAUUUCUUUUGUUGUAAAAGGGUAUUUGGAAGGUGGCUUUCUUUUCGGAGAAAGUGUUUAUAGCCUUAUACCUCUACAAUCGGAGAGAUUGAGGUCUGCAGCGUAGAUCCUUCGGGGCUAGAUACACUUGUGCUAAGUUAUAGCUUUUCAUAGACAACUUGUUGACUAUGUUUAGUCAUGUAGCUUACCCGCCUGUGCUAUUUUACCUACGCUUAGGAUGUUGAGUCAUCACACAUCUCU
rnacentral:rRNA from 1 species